rnacentral:rRNA from 1 species
GAUGAACGCUGGCGGCGUGCCUAAUACAUGCAAGUCGAGCGAACGGACGAGAAGCUUGCUUCUCUGAUGUUAGCGGCGGACGGGUGAGUAACACGUGGAUAACCUACCUAUAAGACUGGGAUAACUUCGGGAAACCGGAGCUAAUACCGGAUAAUAUUUUGAACCGCAUGGUUCAAAAGUGAAAGACGGUCUUGCUGUCACUUGUAGAGGAUUCCGCGUUGCUUUAGUAAGUUGGUAAGGUAACGGCUAACCAAGGCAACGAUGCAUAGCCGACCUGAGAGGGUGAUCGGCCACACUGGAACUGAGACACGGUCCAGACUCCUAAGGGAGGCAGCAGUAGGGAAUCUUCCGCAAUGGGCGAAAGCCUGACGGAGCAAAGCCGCGUGAGUGAUGAAGGUCUUCGGAUCGUAAAACUCUGUUAUUAGGGAAGAACAUAUGUGUAAGUAACUGUGCACAUCUUGACGGUACCUAAUCAGAAAGCCACGGCUAACUACGUG